AUUGUUUCUAGGCCUUUUGGAUAAGAUCAAGUGCAGUAUCUGUUCUUAUCAUUUUAAUUUUCCAGUGGAAAAGGACCAUGGGGUGUUGGUUGACAGCCAGCUGAACAUGA
rnacentral:snRNA from 1 species